rnacentral:rRNA from 1 species
AUAAACGCUGGCGGCGUGCUUAACACCUGCAAGUCGAACGAAGUUUUUCUUUCGGGAGGAACUUAGUGGCGGACGGGUGAGUAACGCGUGGGUAACCUGCCCUGUACAGGGGGACAACAGCUGGAAACGGCUGCUAAUACCGCAUAAGCCCUUAGCACUGCAUGGUGCAUAGGGAAAAGGAGCAAUCCGGUACAGGAUGGACCCGCGUCUGAUUAGCCAGUUGGCAGGGUAACGGCCUACCAAAGCGACGAUCAGUAGCCGAUCUGAGAGGAUGUACGGCCACAUUGGGACUGAGACACGGCCCAGACUCCUACGGGAGGCAGCAGUGGGGAAUAUUGCACAAUGGAGGAAACUCUGAUGCAGCGACGCCGCGUGAGUGAAGAAGUAUUUCGGUAUGUAAAGCUCUAUCAGCAGGAAAGAAAAUGACGGUACCUGACUAAGAAGCACCGGCUAAAUACGUG